CUGCGACAAAGCGAAGCUCCAUCGGGGGUGUCUCGAUGAGACUCGGGGCAGCUGUCACCUCCAUGCUUGCCCACGUGCCCCUGGAGGGCGAAGGCAUUAUCCUCGGUCGACUUCGUCACUUCCGAGCCUUCGCCGAGUAGUGGGAGCUGAGGAUUGAACCCCAGCCCAUGCCACCUCAGCCCAUGUUCCCAGUUUUGGGUUGUAAAAUGGCAGGAAAUCCAUCCUCCGGCACAAGCGCAGCAGUCAGGUUGAGGGGCUCUGGGAAACUCUUCGCCUCUCUGGGCCUGCUGUUCUUCAUCUGUGAGAUAAGGAAAGCCUCUUCUGCCUCUGUUUAUGUUUUGUUUCAGGAUUCUAAUGCCACACUAGAGACACUCUUCUGUCAUAUGUUACUUUGGGGAAGAUUUUUAUUUUCCACCCACUCUUUUUAAAAAGACCAGUCAGUUUUCGUAAAAAUGUACAACUAAAUUUACCAUCUUAA